AAGUUGUUUUGUAAGUUAUACUUUAAACUAUUCUAUUUAAACUAAAUCAAGUAAUUAAAGAGUAUUAAAAGUUAUUUGCACUGUACUGUAAAAUUUGAUAUGACUUAUGUCAUUAUGGAUGAAAGGGCCGCAAUUUUACUAUUUCAUUUUUAUAAACAAAGUUUCAGGACCAACAGAAUUGGAAACCCUAUGCCUUAACAGAAGUAAUAUGCAAUCAUACAAUUGCUGUAUUGCACAACUGCAGGAAUUGUUCAUUUGCUGUUGUUCCCAAAUCCUAAAACUUGAAUUGCGUGAAUAAAGGUGAGAAGUAACGAGCCAUGGAACAUAAUGUUAAAUCGUUAUACUGAAAUGCAAUGAAAUGACCAAAAAGUCAUUUGAAAUGGUAUGCAAAUUAUUGCAGCUUUACUUACAGCGUAAGAAAAAUAUGCUAGAACCAAGAGAUCCACCUUUUGUAGCCCAACAAGUAGUAAUACGUGUGUUUAAGUACUGCUGUUGUGCAGAAUAUAGAGUAGUAGGUUCAGUAUUCGGCAUCCGCAAAUUACUACUUUUACUAUUAUGGACCUGAAAAUACAUGUGGACAAAAUUACGUCCUUUCACAAAUUAGACCAAAGUAUUUUUGCGAAAAACACCACACCACAUUUAAAUAUGAUACUAUUUACUAUUGCUUUAAACAGAAUCUUAGACAUUCAUUCAAACUCGUUCAAAAAUAAUUUUUAAUUUUAAAAUUUUUUUAAGUCUUUCGUCGAAGUAUAAAAAGUAGUUGCUUAAAUUGCCUAAAAGUGCGAUACAUCGACAUUAGAAUAUUGGUGUAUAUUUAUUAGAAUUUCUUAUGUGACAAAAUUCUAAGUUCCAUGAAUAUUAGAAGAAUGUAAUAAUAAAAUAUAUCCUUCAAAAAUAAGUUUUAUGUCUGGGUCAUAGCUUAUUAAAUUUUACAAUUAAUAACCUCAACACUAUUAAAAAAUAUAUAAAUAUUUUUCUCGUGUUUCUUUUAUAAAGCCCUGUGAAUAAAUUAAAUGAAAGUCGAUGAGUUGGCGAAUAAUUUUAUUGUCUCUUUCUAUAUAUCUUUACAGUUCAUAUUUAUUUUAAAUAAAUAGAUAUUUCUACGAGAACCCAGCUGCAAUUUAAAAUUAGUUUUAUUUUUAAAUGCAUCGAGGCGGCGGCUCAAAUUUGCUUUGCGAAUAGUUGUUCAAUGAAUUGAUAACGAAGCUUUAAAAUCGAAACGCUAUUUUGACAAAAGCCCAUUUUGAACUAAAUUACUUCCAAUCUCCAUUGAACUUGACUUCAAAGGCCGUGUUUAAUGAGUACUUGAUGUUACAAUCAAAAUGAUGGAUUCAGUGUAUUAAGAGAUACAGGAAAUUAGCUUCCUGUGUUCACCGGUGUCGACUUAUAAAAAAAAAGGUUUUUAUACGGGUAUAUUACUGUUUUAAAAUUAAUUAUUGCUUAUUUUGUUGAUUUAUAAGGAGUAAGAUAAGUUUAAGAAAACUUAUGCCAAAAUAAAUAAAAAUAACUAGGAUCCUAGAAUAGAGAUCUCUGAUACUCAAACAGAGAAAUUCCUUCAUAAGCGCAUACUCCUUAAGAGUGCUUUUAUCUCCUCUUUUGUAUAGAACAUGGUGGUGAACGGGCUAUCUUAGAACUAAAGCAAGCUUAAUUCAGUACUAUAUGAUGUGAAGGGGGCAUUUAAACAUCAGUAGGUUCUUUAACUUCCUUAAUAGGGACAUUUACCAGGCAAGCCAAAAUUAAGGAAUUAGAACCUCUAGCACUAAACGGUAGAGAAAUUUCUUUGUUAAGAGAAAAAAACUAAAUUCUUUGGGGUAACUCAAGUUGAGCUGGAAGCAACAUUUGGAUCAAACAGUCAAGCGUUUGAAAAUCAUCCUUAUACCUAGAGAGACCUACAAACCAUUAGAUUUACCAAUACUGGAAUGAGUAAACGAAAAUAUUAGAAGAACCUUUGAUAAUAAGCAGAUCCUAUUAUCUGACAACCAGGUAAUCCUGAAGGUACUUGCGUUAAACCUGGGAUUUGGAAUAUGGAAUAUAUAAACUGGGAUACGGAAUUGCCUAUUGGAAGUCAAAACAGGAGCCAGCCGUCUACCAAGAAAUGAAAAAACAAAUACUUCUUGCCGUACUUAAUGCCUAUAUAAGCUUAUGAUCGACUUUGGACCUAGUUGGAAGAUUUAGACUUUACAGCUAUCACCGACCAUCAUGCACUGUUAUGGUUAAUGAAUCUAAAUGAUCCUAGAGGGAGGCUGCCUCGAUGGGAUAUAGCAUUAUAACAAUAUGGCUAUGAUUAAGUACAUAAAAAAAGGGAAUGAUCGUCAUAUUCCGGAUUGUCUUGCAAGAUCAGCUCCAAAUAUAGAUACGGUGCAGGCUAGUAAAAACACUGUUAACCCAGUUAAAAGACCAGUGGUAUUAGAGAAAAAUAGAUGCGGUAUAUAAAAAUCCUCGUAAGUAUUUGCUAUGAGGAGUGAAAAAUGGCUGCUGUCUAUAAAUGUUUGGUGGUAGGAUUUGUGGCAACUGAGGUUUGUUUGCAGUUAUGCCGACUGAAUAGAACUGUUCGAUGCGGAAUUAAAAAUCCUAUUCAAUUGUGUAUCUAACUCAAAAGUGAACAUUUUGGCGUUUAUGCCGUUUUGGCUUGGCAGCGUCGAAAUAUAGAAUUUUUUUGAAAAUUAAAAUUAAGGAAAUUUUAGAAUAUUUUGUGAUCUGUUACAGGAAAAUUACUCACAAAAUAUUGGAAAACGUGAAAAAUUUGCAGGGCAAGGAGAGCCAAAAACGGCCAAAAAAAAUUAAUAAUUGUUCAUUUUCUCGUCAAAAAUUCGCCAAGGGAUUAUAAAACAAUUUAUCUAAAAUUAAAUGUUUAAUAAUUUA